rnacentral:lncRNA from 1 species
UGCAUCUGAUAGGUCUCUGUGUGAUAAAUAUUUUGAAUUGCCUUCUAGGUAAGAGCCUAAUCCUGCUUAGGGAAACAACUUGGAAAGUGGUUUUUUUUUUUUUUUGAUUUUUAAACUUUUUUUUAAAAAGUUUUUUAACGUGUGAACUCAUCCAUUAGACUUUACGCUCAAAACACAGGAGCUUGAAGGGGAAAACAAAAAUCAACUCUAAAAUGUUGAAUAGAGAUAUCUUUUUUGUUAUUAAUCUCAGUGUUUAUGAGGAAAGAACCCGUCUCUAAGACUUGAUCCCGUCUCCUUUAUUUGAUGGAUUGUUAAAUCUAUUGAUGAGUGAGUAGUUCAUCCAGCAUCCCCAGCAGCAAGGUCAGUGGAGUGAUUCCUCAAGCCGGCAGGGGAGGAUGGGGUCCUGGUAGAGGAGCCUCCUCCCUGCAGGAGCAUUUUGAGUAUGCAGAACACAGUGGCUCAGCCUGGAGCUGGCAGUUAGUGCUCUCACACACACACACACACACACACACACACACACGCAGCAGCGCUUUCCCCUCAAGUGAGGCGGCGUUAGUAACUGCAGUCCCGGCAUCCUAGGCUGGGGACCAGCGGCUACUGGCUGGUUUGUUAGAGGACCCUGGAGCCCAGUUUCCGAGGGACCCGGUGACACGCCGCUGUCACAACUAGUGACAGCUAUUUCUUCCCUGCUGCUUCCCCAGCUCCUGGCAAGAGGACACCCUCUUCCAAAAGCCAGGCAGCCCGGGGAGGAGGCUGCUCCCUGCAGAAGGUGGAUUCUUUACCAUUGAGCCACCUGGGAAGCCCCCUGAGCCAGGAGAGGAAAGGUUUAUUCGUAUACCUUGCAAAUGCUUAUUGAGCUACCAUAAUACAUCGGGUACUCUGCUAGGUACUGGAGAUAAAAUAAUGUCAAGAGAGCAUCUGUUCAGCUCUUUGAACUAUGGGUAAGUAUAUUUUAGAA